rnacentral:rRNA from 1 species
UGAAUUUCUGUUUGUAAGAGUCGAAGCUUUACAGCUAAGAUUUCUUCGAACAUCUGUUUGCAAGCAUACGUUCGGCCUUCACUGGUUGGCUAUGUAAGCAAGCGCUUUACCUUGAGAAAAUUAGAGUGUUCCAGGCAGGCUUCAGCCGGAAUACAUUAGCAUGGAAUAAUGGAAUAGGACUGGGGACUAUUUAUUGGUUUGAGGCUCCAGUAAUGAUUAAUAGGAACAGUCGGGGGCAUUGGUACUUAACAGUCAGAGGUGAAAUUCUUGGAUUUGUUAAAGACUAACUAAUGCGAAAGCAUUUGCCAAGCAUGUUUUCAUUAAUCAAGAACGAAAGUUAGGGGAUCAAAGACGAUUAGAUACCGUCCUAGUCUUAACUGUAAAACGAUUCCAUCUUAGAAUUGGGUGAAUAUUUGAUGAUUCAUCCAGCGCUAUAAGAGAAAUACAAAGUCUUUGGGUUCUUGGUGGAG